rnacentral:rRNA from 1 species
GAUGAACGCUGGCGGCGUGCCUACUACAUGCAAGUCGAGCGAACAGACGAGGAGCUUGCUCCUCUGACGUUAGCGGCGGACGGGUGAGUAACACGUGGAUAACCUACCUAUAAGACUGGGAUAACUUCGGGAAACCGGAGCUAAUACCGGAUAAUAUAUUGAACCGCAUGGUUCAAUAGUGAAAGACGGUUUUGCUGUCACUUAUAGAUGGAUCCGCGCCGCAUUAGCUAGUUGGUAAGGUAACGGCUUACCAAGGCAACGAUGCGUAGCCGACCUGAGAGGGUGAUCGGUCACACUGGAACUGAGACACGGUCCAGACUCCUACGGGAGGCAGCAGUAGGGAAUCUUCCGCAAUGGGCGAAAGCCUGACGGAGCAACGCCGCGUGAGUGAUGAAGGUCUUCGGAUCGUAAAACUCUGUUAUUAGGGAAGAACAAAUGUGUAAGUAACUAUGCACGUCUUGACGGUACCUAAUCAGAAAGCCACGGCUAACUACGUG